AAUCAAAGUGUCUACUGAAGAAGCUGUGUCUGAUGGUGGAGGUGGACUGCUGGGCAUGAGUGCAGAUGGUGCCCAUGCACCAUACAUCCCAGCUGGCGCUGACACUGAGAGCAUGAGGAAGGCAUCUGGCACUGCUAAAAAUGCCAAAAACCACCUCUUUCAGGAGGAUACCACAGUGCCAUGGUGGAAGACCCCAGGUUCAGCUAGUCAUAAAGAAGGACAUAUGGCAAGGAUCCAGGAAGUUGAUUUGGGGAACAGCAGCAGGUCUAUCCCACAGAAUGUGACAUUUCCAGUGCCACAGGCUUAUGUUCCUGUCCCUUGCAUACCUUACCCAGGUUAUCCUGCUCCCUGGCUGCCCAUGCAUUACCUGGCUUCAUACUAAAAACCCAAAACGUGCUGUAGUUCAGAGUUGAGUUACAAGUGCACAUUGGCAAUCUUACAUUAAAAGGUAGCUCAGGAGUUGAACGUGCAGGGCAGAGUUUACCCUGCGAUUCUGACCUUGAAUUUACUGUACGUUGAUUUGCUUGUUCAACAUUGUCUGAGCGAGGAGCAGUCAGACAGUUUUUUUUCUAACUACCUAUACUUAUAUAUAUGACAUAUAUGUUAUAAGGUCACAUAUAUGUCACGCUAAAAGUCAUUAUUUGGCCUUAAGUACAUAAAUCAGACACUAUUAAUUAAUUAACCAAUUUAUAGUAUUAUCUCUAUAAAGUCGAAAACAGGUUUAUUUGUUUGUUUUUGCCUUCAUAGAGCACAUUGGAAAA
ensembl:lncRNA